GUUACAUACUACAACAGUUACAUACAUGUUGUGAUGUUACAUACUAUUACAGUUACAUACAUGAUGUUAAAUACUACUACAGUUACAUAUGUGAUGUUACAUUCUACGACAGUUACAUACAUGUUACAUACUACUACAGUUACAUACAUGUUACAUUCUACUACAGUUACAUGCAUGAUGUUACAUUCUACUACAGUUACAUACGUGAUGUUACAUACUACUACAGUUACAUACAUUAUGUGAUGUUACAUACUACUACAGUUACAUACAUGUUACAUUCAUGAUGUUACAUAUUACUACAUUUACAUAUUACUGCAGUUACAUACAUGAUGUUGCAUACUACUACAGUUACAUACAUUAUGUGAUGUUACAUACUACCACAGUUAUAUACAUGAUGUGAUGUUACAUACUACUACAGUUACAUAUGUGAUGUUGCAUACUACUAGUUACAUACAUUAUGUGAUGUUACAUACUACCACAGUUAUAUACAUGAUGUGAUGUUACAUACUACUACAGUUACAUAUGUGAUGUUACAUACUACCACAGUUACAUACAUGUUGUGAUGUUACAUACUACUACAGUUACAUACAUGUUGUGAUGUUACAUACUACUACAGUUACAUACAUGUUGUGAUGUUACAUACUACAACAGUUACAUACAUGUUGUGAUGUUACAUACUACUACAGUUACAUACAUGAUGUUACAUUCUACUACAGUUACAUACAUGUUACAUACUACUACAAUUACAUACAUGAUGUGAUGUUACAUACUACUACAGUUACAUACAUGAUGUUACAUACUACUACAGUUACAUAUGUGAUGUUACAUACUACUACAGUUACAUACAUGAUGUUACAUACUACUACAGUUACAUAUGUGAUGUUACAUUCUACUACAGUUACAUACAUGUUACAUACUACUACAGUUACGUACAUGUUACAUACUACUACAGUUACGUAGAUGUUACAUACUACUACAGUUACAUACAUGAUGUUACAUACUACUACAGUUACAUAUGUGAUGUUACAUACUACUACAGUUACAUAUGUGAUGUUACAUACUACUACAGUUACAUACAUGUUACAUACUACUACAGUUACAUGCAUGAUGUUACAUACUACUACAGUUACAUACAUUAUGUGAUGUUACAUACUACUACAGUUACAUACAUGAUGUUACAUACUACUACAGUUACAUACGUGAUGUUACAUACUACUACAGUUACAUACGUGAUGUUACAUACAUGUUACAUACUACUACAGUUACAUACAUGUUACAUACUACUACAGUUACAUGCAUGAUGUUACAUACGUGAUGUUACAUACUACUACAGUUACAUACAUUAUGUGAUGUUACAUACUACUACAGUUACAUACAUGAUGUUACAUACUACUACAGUUACAUACGUGAUGUUACAUACUACUACAGUUACAUACGUGAUGUUACAUACAUGUUACAUACUACUACAGUUACAUACAUGCUGCUACAUACAUGAUGUGAUGUUACAUACUACUACAGUUGCAUACAUAAUGUUACAUACAUGUUACAUACUACUAAAGUUACAUACAUGUUACAUACUAUUACAGUUACAUACAUAAUGUUACAUACUACUAAAGUUGCAUACAUGUUACAUACUACUACAGUUACAUACAUGAUGUGAUGUUACAUACUACUACAGUUACAUACAUGUGAUGUUACAUACAUGAUGUGAUGUUACAUACAUGUUGUGAUGUUACAUACUACUACAGUUACAUACAUGAUGUGAUGUUACAUACUACUACAGUUACAUACAUGUUGUGAUGUUACAUACAUGAUGUGAUGUUACAUACAUGUUGUGAUGUUACAUACUACUACAGUUACAUACAUGAUGUGAUGUUACAUACUACGACAGUUACAUACAUGUUGUGAUGUUACAUACUACUACAGUUACAUACAUGAUGUGAUGUUACAUACUACGACAGUUACAUACAUGAUGUGAUGUUAGAUACUACGACAGUUACGUACAUGAUGUGAUGUUACAUGUAGGAAACCAAAGUUGUCAGUGAAUUAAAAAGAUUUGUAUUGUUUAUCUGGUGUCUCUCUGUUUAAUGGCCAAGAAGGAUAUUUGCAGAUUACUGCCCUGAGUUUACAAAACAUUAACGU
ensembl:lncRNA